CGCGUAGGUGGUAGUGCAAGUCUGGGGUGGAAUCCUAUGGCUUAACCAUAGAAUUGCCCUGGAAACUGUAUUACUUGAGUCAGUGAGGGGAGGGUAGAAUUCCUGGUGUAGCGGUGAAAUGCGUAGAUAUCAGGAGGAAGGCCGGUGGCGAAGGCGGCCCUCUGGCGCUGAACUGACACUGAGGCGCGAAAGCGUGGGGAGCAAACAGGAUUAGAUACCCUGGUAGUCCACGCCCUAAACGGUGGGUACUAGGUGUAGGGCUCGUAAGGGUUCUGUGCCGAAGCGAAAGCAUUAAGUACCCCGCCUGGGGAGUACGGCCGCAAGGUUGAA
rnacentral:rRNA from 1 species